UACGGAGGGUGCAAGCGUUAUCCGGAUUCACUGGGUUUAAAGGGUGCGUAGGAGGGCAGGUAAGUCAGUGGUGAAAUCCCCGAGCUUAACUUGGGAACUGCCGUUGAUACUAUCUGUCUUGAAUAUUGUGGAGGUAAGCGGAAUAUGUCAUGUAGCGGUGAAAUGCUUAGAUAUGACAUAGAACACCAAUUGCGAAGGCAGCUUGCUACACAACUAUUGACUCUGAUGCACGAAAGCGUAGGGAUCAAACAGG
rnacentral:rRNA from 1 species